rnacentral:rRNA from 1 species
GUUGCCAAGCAGGCGCGGUAUUUCCAGCUCCAAUAGCGUAUAUUAAAGUUGUUGCAGUUAAAAAGCUCGUAGUUGAACCUGGGGUCUGGCUGGCCGGUCCGCCUCACCGCGUGUACUGGUCCGGCCGGACCUUUCCUUCUGGGGAGCCGCAUGCCCUUCACUGGGCGUGUCGGGGAACCAGGACUUUUACUUUGAAAAAAUUAGAGUGUUCAAAGCAGGCCUUUGCUCGAAUACAUUAGCAUGGAAUAAUAGAAUAGGACGUGCGGUUCUAUUUUGUUGGUUUCUAGGACCGCCGUAAUGAUUAAUAGGGAUAGUCGGGGGCAUCCGUAUUCAAUUGUCAGAGGUGAAAUUCUUGGAUUUAUUGAAGACGAACUACUGCGAAAGCAUUUGCCAAGGAUGUUUUCAUUAAUCAGUGAACGAAAGUUAGGGGAUCGAAGACGAUCAGAUACCGUCGUAGUCUUAACCAUAAACUAUGCCGACUCGGGAUCGGUGGGCGUUACUAUUUUGACUCCAUCGGCACCGUACGAGAAAUCAAAGUUUUUGGGUUCUGGGGGGAGUAUGGUCGCAAGGCUGAAACUUAAAGAAAUUGACGGAAGGGCACCACCAGGCGUGGAGCCUGCGGCUUAAUUUGACUCAACACGGGGAAACUCACCAGGUCCAGACACAAUAAGGAUUGACAGAUUGAGAGCUCUUUCUUGAUUUUGUGGGUGGUGGUGCAUGGCCGUUCUUAGUUGGUGGAGUGAUUUGUCUGCUUAAUUGCGAUAACGAACGAGACCUUAACCUGCUAAAUAGCCCGGCCCGCUUUGGCGGGUCGCCGGCUUCUUAGAGGGACUAUCGGCUCAAGCCGAUGGAAGUUUUGAGCAAUAACAGGUCUGUGAUGCCC